rnacentral:tRNA from 1 species
GGAGGGGUGGCCGAGUGGUUUAAGGCGCACGCCUGGAGAGCGUGUAUACGGGAAACCGUAUCGGGGGUUCGAAUCCCCCUCCCUCCGCCA